rnacentral:rRNA from 1 species
UACGUAGGUGGCAAGCGUUGUCCGGAUUUACUGGGCGUAAAGAGCGCGCAGGCGGUCGUUCAAGUCGCGUGUGAAAGCCCCCGGCUCAACUGGGGAGGGUCACGCGAUACUGAUCGACUCGAAGGCAGGAGAGGGAUGUGGAAUUCCAGGUGUAGCGGUGAAAUGCGUAGAUAUCUGGAGGAACACCGGUGGCGAAGGCGGCAUCCUGGACCGAGAUUGACGCUGAGGCGCGAAAGCUAGGGGAGCAAACGGG